CCUACGGGUGGCAGCAGUCGAGAAUCAUUCACAAUGGGGGAAACCCUGAUGGUGCGACGCCGCGUGGGGGAAUGAAGGUCUUCGGAUUGUAAACCCCUGUCAUGUGGGAGCAAAUUAAAAAGAUAGUACCACAAGAGGAAGAGACGGCUAACUCUGUGCCAGCAGCCGCGGUAAUACAGAGGUCUCAAGCGUUGUUCGGAAUCACUGGGCGUAAAGCGUGCGUAGGCUGUUUCGUAAGUCGUGUGUGAAAGGCGCGGGCUCAACCCGCGGACGGCACAUGAUACUGCGGGACUAGAGUAAGGGAGGGGGAACCGGAAUUCUCGGUGUAGCAGUGAAAUGCGUAGAUAUCGAGAGGAACACUCGUGGCGAAGGCGGGUUCCUGGACAUUAACUGACGCUGAGGCACGAAGGCCAGGGGAGCGAAAGGGAUUAGAUACCCUAGUAGUC
rnacentral:rRNA from 1 species